GACGAACGCUGGCGGCGUGCCUAAUACAUGCAAGUAGAACGCACAGUUUAUACCGUAGCUUGCUACACCAUAGACUGUGAGUUGCGAACGGGUGAGUAACGCGUAGGUAACCUGCCUGGUAGCGGGGGAUAACUAUUGGAAACGAUAGCUAAUACCGCAUAAUAUUGAUUAUUGCAUGAUAAUUGAUUGAAAGAUGCUAUUGCAUCACUACCAGAUGGACCUGCGUUGUAUUAGCUAGUAGGUGAGGUAACGGCUCACCUAGGCGACGAUUCAUAGCCGACCUGAGAGGGUGAUCGGCCACACUGGGACUGAGACACGGCCCAGACUCCUACGGGAGGCAGCAGUAGGGAAUCUUCGGCAAUGGACGAAAGUCUGACCGAGCAACGCCGCGUGAGUGAAGAAGGUUUUCGGAUCGUAAAGCUCUGUUGUAAGAGAAGAACGGGUGUGAGAGUGGAAAGUUCACACUGUGACGGUAUCUUACCAGAAAGGGACGGCUAACUACGUG
rnacentral:rRNA from 1 species